ensembl:lncRNA
UUUUUUUUUUUUUUUUUUUUUUUUUUUUUUUACCAUGGAAAGGCAAAGAAGUCAUAUAUGUUUCCUUUGUGCUUCUUAUUUCUACAUUAGCUACAGCAUUGUAAGUGAAAAAACACAAGAUGCUAUUAUUUGGAAGCUAUUAUAUUAUUGUUAAAUUAAUCUUUUGUGCAAGUACUUUGCUGUUUAGCAACAUAUAUAAACAUGUGUUUAUAAUUAGGCCUGUGCUUGAAAACUUUCUGAAAACAAAGGUCUAAUGCUCAGCAGCCUUUCAAUGUUCAUCCAGCUUUCUAAAAUUACUUACAAUAUUCUGGUGUAAUCUUGAUUUCCUUCUGGGUUUCUUCUUCCUGCUCUGGAAAAUGUAUGCCUGUUUACAGCAUCUGCUGCCAUAACCUCUCUGUAAACAACUCAGUGAAGCAUUCGUGCAGUGAAGUGCACAAAGUCCCAAUGCUCUCUAACAUCAGCAGUGAUGCCCUUUCUCAAAGCACAGAUAUGAAUUCCAGGGAUCUUUCGCUGCUUCAGAGAAGACAUUGGCAAGAUGUACAGAGAGGCAGUUUACUCAACUGUUCUUCCUGCAGUGAAAAAUCGUAAGGUAUUUAACAACAAACAGUGACAUUUUAAUAGUUUUAUGUGGUCCUGCAAGAGGAAAUGUUAUCCUAGUGCAAGGUUUGAACAUUCUGCUGCAAAGACAGCCCCUCUGCUAAACCCUGGGGGCUUACAGAGCCAUUUACACACAACCCUAUCGAAUGUCUGUAGGCUUGUUGACUUAACGUAUGCUAUACUUAUUAGGAAUUUUCCAUUUCAGCUUCAACUGCACAUAAAGUUAGAGAACGCCAUUAAGGUUAAUAUGGAUGUUACAACAUCUUGGCCUACUUCUCCAGAAAUGUUUGUUUCAUUUAACACAAGAAGCAACCCCCUCUCUUGCACAAUAUCAAUAGGCACAGACAGACUAUUCCACAGGUUUUUGCUCGGGGCAAGCUACCCCAAAAGCUUGAUGGAACACAGCAAGAAGACGUGUUACAACUCAAGUCCAAACUUGGAUUCCUGACCACCAUCUAACACAAUGUACCCAUGUAAGAACAGAGCAGAAGGCAUUUGGCUGUCAAGGGGCAGGGAUGGGACGGUCAUUGCUUUGCAGAGCUGUAAUAAAGCUGAGGUUAAAGAUCAACUAUAGUUGUCUCCUGACACAGAUGAAAAGACUGGGAGACAUAAUCACCCCUCUGAGCAGAAGAUAAUCUGUUUGGGGCACCGCCAUUUGGGGCUGUUUAUUCAGCUUCUGGUGCAGUGAUGUUAGGAGCCUCACAUAAAACCAGUGAGUACAAAGUCAAUGAGACUUUAAAAGUCAAUGAGACUUUUAAAGCAGGGGCAGGCAUUGCUAUAGGAAUUGAAACUUCUUUUUUUCCAGUUGCAAUUUUUCAACAGCUUCUCAUCACUUUUUCAGCAUGUUAUCUUUCAUAUUCUACUGAGGCAGAAGAUGUGAUUCAUGAUACAAGAUAGGAAACAGACAGCAGCAGGCAGUACUAAAACACCAAAAUGCAUACUGAGAACUGCAGUUAUGUGAGCUUAGAAUCCAGAAUUUUUUGAAGCCUGAAGAAAUGUCCAUUGAAACUCAUUUGGAGCUGAGCAUCUAAAUCUCCUUAGAAGUCUCUUUGACAUCUUUAAUCAUUACCCUAUUUUACACAUGAGAAAGCCGAGAUAGUGAUUUUCACAGAAGGUCAGAUAAUAAUCAGAUAAUAAUUUACCUACUCGAUCUUUGCAAUUGAUUUCAAAAAUUCUUACAUUUAUUCAUUAUUCAAAAUUACAGCAGUGUUUCCUGAGUCUGUAGACCACCUGAAAUUCAUCUGAAGUGAAGAAAAUGACAUCCACAUUACAUUAUUUAAUUAAAUUCAUCUUUUUGGAGUCCCUAAUUGAAUAGGCAGCAAACUGACAAUACGUUUUGAAUUAUACAUUUAUCAAAAUUUAAAAUUUUGAGUUAUUUUUUAACUUGAAUUAUCAACUGUCUUUUUGCACAGAAUUAGUGUGCUGACAAUAUUUGAACAAGCAAUAGAACAGUAUCCUGUAGUCUAAUAUAUGUUCCAAAAAAGUACUCCAUAUCAACAUGGAAGGAUAAGGGCAAAAAAAGGGGAAAAAAAAGGAAAAAGAAAAAAAAAAAAAAAAAGGAUUUAAUGUUACUAAGCAACAAAUUUCCCUGAAAAAAAUAUACGGGAAGUAGAAAGAUUAAUGCCCUGUUACUUGCUUUAAAGCACAUCCAAGCUGUUUCAGUCCAAACAGAAAUAGCAUACCUUGGAAACUUAAUGAUCCAUUCACUUAUUCUUCUGUAACCAAUAAAACAGCAGUGCACAUUCAGCUUAGCCUCUGUCACUGAGUCAUCGGUAACUUUUGCUUUAGCAGAAGGAGUUUGACUACUGUUGGUGCAGAGGUUAGGGAGUAGCUGCUGGCUAAUAUCAAGAAAUUCUCAGAAUAU